AAAGGUGGUACUGCAACCAAUCAAAGCGCAGAAGCCUGAAACAGUGACAGACGCGGCAGGUGCAAAGAAUACAAGCGCUGCACCCGAAAAGCUCAGUGUUAGCCCGGAAAAGGUGACAAGCAAGAAGCGAACUAAUGGGAAGGAAAACGAGGAAAAGAAAGAAGAGCGGUCAAUUCUCGAAAUAAGGGAACAGGUUAGCGAAAUAGAGAAGAGCGUACUGGCAUUCUGCAUGGACCCAAACAAGAAAGUUAACAAAGAGCAAACGAUCUCAAGGACAUGGGAAACCUACUGGGGAGCUUCUGCUUUAGAACGGCUAUCUCGCGGGAAAGUUAGAGCAGGAUGCAGACAAAACAAAGAAUCAAGGAUGCGCGAUAGUGUGCGCAGUGAGCAAGUCACUGCAAGCCGGCAAACAACUUGAAACAGUCGUUACGAUGACUUGCCAGAAGGUCGCACAGAUGGCGGUAGAACCGCCGAAAAACGUGGUUAUAAUCCGGUCUGAAGCAGAGAAUGGGGAGAUCAAAACGAGUGAAGAAGCACGGGAUGCAGUGUUUACACUCGUAAAACCUCGUAAAAAGGAAAUACAAGUUCGAGCCGGUAGAAAAAUCAACGACAACGGUCUAAUGGUAGAAACGACGAAACGGAGAAGGAAAUACUGGCCUGUAUCAUGAAGCAGAAUCAGGACAAACUGAAAGAAGAAGACGCGGCAGAAAUGAAGUUCUGCUUCAGGACGGGGCGCAAGCACAACGAGGAAACCAACUGGGUAAUUGAGAUACACCCCCAGGUAAGUGAAAAAUUGUUGACAGGUAAAUUAUUAAUUUCUUAGAAUGCAUGCAAAGUGCAGGAAUAUAUAGCAAUCAGUCGCUGUUACAAAUGUCAGGGAUACAAACACAUCGCAAAGUACUGCCGCGUGAACUAUGAAAUCUGUGCGCAUUGUGCAGAAAGUGGGGACAGUACAAAGAAAUCCUGGUAAGAGCCUGCGACGCGGCCAUUCCAAAAAAAAAUGGCACAAUAGAUCCGUACCAUGGUAGACGGAGGAGGUCAUACGAAAAAUGCGCCUACCUGGCAAGAAGGAAGUAUCAGGGGGCUAAGGGCCCUGCAGCGAGGGAACAAGAAAAGCUGCAAACCAGGUAGGAAUGCAUGAAAAUGGCGGCGAGGGCGAAGACGCAGAGCUGACGGGAUUUCGUAAUCGAAGAAGAAAACAAAGAGCCCUGGGAGAUUGUCUACGAAACGGGUAAACUCAGGAGAGAAGAGACGAUGUCCACAUUGCGAACGCCACAAGGGGAUACCUCUAACUGGCAGUCCACCAUAACGGCGAUGCUGUCGGCCCUCGUACCCGACGAACAUCUUGAAGCGAAGCCAGUAUGAUUUCUAACUCGAGACACAUCGGCUAACCUAUUUGACGAGUCUGUCGAAAGCUUCCUGCUAAUCACGGAUUCGUUUGAAGCCAACUGUGACUCUCCUUCGACCAAUGUCAGCAGGUGGCCAAGAUAGUAAGCGUGUAAUGCCAUAGAUAAUUACUAUAAUAUAAUAGAAAAUCAUUCUAUGAAUAAUGGAUACUUGUUCCAGGAACGAAUAUUAGUAUGCAUAGUCAUUUUAAAGAUAAUUGUUAUUAAGUAUUGUUGUGAAUAACCACUAUUAUUAUAAAUAAUUAUUAUUAGGAAUUAUAUGGAUACACGCAAUUAGUUUCAUGGCAAUAAGAAGAUUUAAUGUCCCAUCUACUAAGAGCAUUAAGCUUCCACGAUGAAUAAUGGGGACCAUUCGAAGCAUCGCAGAUUGCAACUCGAACAAUCGUUGAAACUAUUAGGACUAUUGAAGCUAUCAGACCUUCCAUGAAGAUUUGUAGGUCAACAAAGCUACUUAAAUGUUCUACAAGUAUCUUACAGCUACUAGAAUUAAUACGUAAUCUCGUAGAAACUUCUUGAGUAUUGACUAAAUAAUAAUUUCUUUCCAA